rnacentral:rRNA from 1 species
CCUACGGGAGGCAGCAGUGGGGAAUAUUGGACAAUGGGCGAAAGCCUGAUCCAGCCAUGCCGCGUGUGUGAAGAAGGCCUUCGGGUUGUAAAGCACUUUCAGUGGGGAAGAAAGCCUUGGGGCUAAUACCCUCGAGGAAGGACAUCACCCACAGAAGAAGCACCGGCUAACUCCGUGCCAGCAGCCGCGGUAAUACGGAGGGUGCGAGCGUUAAUCGGAAUUACUGGGCGUAAAGCGCGCGUAGGCGGUCUGAUAAGCCGGUUGUGAAAGCCCCGGGCUCAACCUGGGAACGGCAUCCGGAACUGUCAGGCUAGAGUGCAGGAGAGGAAGGUAGAAUUCCCGGUGUAGCGGUGAAAUGCGUAGAGAUCGGGAGGAAUACCAGUGGCGAAGGCGGCCUUCUGACUGACACUGACGCUGAGGUGCGAAAGCGUGGGUAGCAAACAGGAUUAGAUACCCCUGUAGUC